rnacentral:rRNA from 1 species
UCGAGAAUCUUCCGCAAUGGGCGAAAGCCUGACGGAGCGACGCCGCGUGGUUGAUGAAGUACUUCGGUACGUAAAAACCUUUUAUGAGCGAGAAAGUUUAUUGAUCAGCUCAUGAAUAAGAGGUUGCUAAACUCGUGCCAGCAGCAGCGGUAAUACGAGUGCCUCAAGCGUUAUCCGGAAUUAUUGGGCGUAAAGGGUGUGUAGGCGGUCCUGUUAGUCUCGCGUUAAAUUCUUCGGCUCAACCGGGGGUCUGCGCGGGAAACGGCAGGACUUGAGGAUGCGAGGGGUCUCUGGAACUCAUGGUGUAGCGGUGAAAUGCGUUGAUAUCAUGGGGAACACCGAAAGCGAAGGCAAGAGACUGGAGCAUUCCUGACGCUGAAACACGAAAGCGUGGGUCGCGAAUGGGAUUAGAUACCCCCGUAGUCC